GGUUCGAUUCUGGCUCCAGAUUGAACGCUGGCGGGAUGCUUUACACAUACAAGUCGAACGGCAGCACGGACUUCGGUCUGGUGGCGAGUGGCGAACGGGGUGAGGUAAUGUAUCAGAACAUUCAUCAGCGGGGGAUAACUACGCAGCGUAGCUAAUACCGCCCUUCCAGGAGGCGCGCGGGGAUGCCAGACUCCUUUUUCAUCAGUGACCGAUAUCGGAUUAGCUAUAGUUGGUGAGGUAACGAGCUCACCAAGGCGACGAUCCGUAGCUGGUUUGAGAAGGCGACCAGCCACACUGGGACUGAGACACGGCCAGACUCCCUACGGGGAGGCAGCAGUGGGGAAUUUUGGACAAUGAGGAAACCUGAUCACGGCAGCCAUCCCGCGUGUGCGAUGAGCCUUCAGGUUGUAAAGCACUUUUGGCAGGAAAGAAACGGCGGAUAAUACCCGUUACAGCUGGCGAACACCUGCAAGAAUGGCACCGGCUAACUACGUUCCAGCAACCGCGGUAAUACGUAGAGCCGCAAGCGUUAAUCGGAAUUACUGGGCGUAAAGCGUGCAGAGCGGUUCUUCGGAAAGAAAAGAUGUAAAAUCCCGGAAGCUUAGCUUUGGAACUGCAUUUUUAACUACAAACUAGAGUGUGUCAGAGGGAAGUGCGUUCCGCGUCAUAGCAGUGAAAUGCGUAGAUAUGCGGAGCACCGAUGUGAGCAGCCUCCUGGGAUAACACUAAACGCUCCCUUUGCAACUUGAUAGGAGCAAACAGGAUUAGGUACCUGGUGAUCACGCCUAAACGAUGUCAACUGGCUAUUUGGGGCCUUCAGGCCUUGGUAACAAUACUUUGUGAAAGUUGACCGCCUGGGGAGUACGGUCGCAAGAUUAAAACUCAAAGGAAUUGACGGGGACCCACUGCGAGUGGAUGUGUGGAUUAAUAAUUGAUACAGCACUUGAAAAACCUUACACCUACCCUUGACGUAUCUGGAAUCUCCAAAGAGAUUUGGGAGUGCUCGCAAGAGAACCGGAACACAGGUGCUGCAUGGCUGUCGUCCAGCUCGUGUCGUGAGAUGUUGGGUUAAGUCCCGCAACGAGCGCAACCCUUGUCAUUAGUUGCUGCAGGGGCACUCCUGGCCUGAGACUGCCGGUGACAAACCGGAGGAAGGUGGGGAUGACGUCAGGGCCUCAUGGCCCUUAUGGGUAGGGCUUCACGUCAUACAAUGGUCGGGACAGAGGGGUCGCCAACGCGAGGGGGAGCAAUCCCAGAAGCCCGAUCGUAGUCCGGAUCGCAGGAUCCCAACUCGACUGCGUGAAGUCGGAAUCGCUAGUAAUCGCGGAUCAGCAUGUCGCGGUGAAUACGUGCAGGUCUUGUACACACCGCCCGUCACACCAUGGGAGUGGGUUUCAAGUAGUUAGCCUAACCGUAAGGCGAUUACCACGGUAGAGUUGUGACUGGGAAGGUGAAGUCGUAACAAGGUAA
rnacentral:rRNA from 1 species